UGGUGGCGACCGGCGCACGGGUGAGUAACGCGUAUGCAACCCAUCUAUCAGAGGGGGAUAACCCGGCGAAAGUCGGACUAAUACCGCAUAAAACAGGGACACCGCAUGGUGAUAUUUGUUAAAGAAAUUCGCUGAUAGAUGGGCAUGCGUUCCAUUAGGUAGUUGGUGAGGUAACGGCUCACCAAGCCGACGAUGGAUAGGGGAACUGAGAGGUUGGUCCCCCACACUGGUACUGAGACACGGACCAGACUCCUACGGGAGGCAGCAGUGAGGAAUAUUGGUCAAUGGGCGAGAGCCUGAACCAGCCAAGUCGCGUGAAGGAAGAAGGAUCUAUGGUUCGUAAACUUCUUUUGCAGGGGAAUAAAGUGCAGGACGUGUCCUGUUUUGUAUGUACCCUGAGAAUAAGGAUCGGCUAACUCCGUGCCAGCAGCCGCGGUAAUACGGAGGAUCCGAGCGUUAUCCGGAUUUAUUGGGUUUAAAGGGUGCGUAGGUGGUUUGAUAAGUCAGCGGUGAAAGUUUGCAGCUUAACUGUAAAAAUGCCGUUGAAACUGUCGGACUUGAGUGUAAAUGAGGUAGGCGGAAUGCGUGGUGUAGCGGUGAAAUGCUUAGAUAUCACGAAGAACUCCGAUUG
rnacentral:rRNA from 1 species